GGGAAAAUGCAUACAUUUUUAAAGCAUGACUGUAAUCCACUUGAACUGAUUCCUUUCUACUUCUUAUUGAACUUCCCUUUUCACUUCUUUACAAUAUAUUUUCAACAGUCCUAGCCAAAUAGGUUGAAAGCAUCAGAUCACCAGAUUCCAAGUGAAGAAUUUUCAUUUGCUCAGAUGCAAAAGAGGACCAGAGCUUUAGGCAGCAUUUCUCACUACACACUCACAGGGCUCUUCGUUCUGUCGGCCAUGGUUUGUUUCCUCAGGAGGAAGGUGUUCAGCAUCAUGUCCCGCAGCCCCACCUUUUCCAGUUGAAUAGACACAAAGGCCUCUGGAUACCUUUUGGUAGCCUGAAAUCUUUCUGGAGAAUGAGUAAGUGUAUCUGGGACUUUUGGAGUUGGGGCUAUCAGCGAGCUGUCUAUGCCAUUCACAAUUCUGGAAUAUCUUCUUCUGGUUGGGCCCAUUCCACCAUGAUUUCUCAGAUCUGAACUUAUUUCCUAAAAUAUUUUAAACCAAAGUAAAUUAAAUUUUUGGGCAUAUAAGUCCUGAAGCACUGCUGUAAAAUGAUCUCACAGCCACAACUGAUCCCCAACACAUGUAAAGGCCUGGGUACAUGUGACAGGGGAGUAGAAAGAAGAGAAGAGGAGGGGAGGAGACGGAAAGGGAAAAGAGUGGAGUGGAGGAGGAGAGAUACCACUUUGCAC
rnacentral:lncRNA from 10 species